rnacentral:rRNA from 1 species
GAAUUUUCCGCAAUGGGCGAAAGCCUGACGGAGCAACGCCGCGUGAGGGAGGAAGGCCUUAGGGUUGUAAACCUCUUUUCUCUGGGAAGAAGAACUGACGGUCCCAGAGGAAUAAGCCUCGGCUAACUCCGUUCCAGCCGCCGCGGUAAGACGGAGGAGGCAAGCGUCAUCCGGAAUUAUUGGGCGUAAAGCGUCCGCAGGCGGUUAUUUAAGUCUGUUGUCAAGGCCCACAGCUCAACUGUGGAUCGGCAAUGGAAACUGAAUGACUUGAGUGUGGUAGGGGUAGAGGGAAUUCCCGGUGUAGCGGUGAAAUGCGUAGAUAUCGGGAAGAACACCAGUGGCGAAGGCGCUCUACUGGGCCACAACUGACGCUGAGGGACGAAAGCUAGGGGAGCGAAAGGG